rnacentral:rRNA from 1 species
CGAACGGGUGAGUAACGCGUAAGAAAGGACCUUGGGAGGGGAACAACAACUGGAAACGGUUGCUAAUACCCCGUAGGCUGAGGAGCAAAAGGAGAAAUCCGCCCAAGGAGGGGCUCGCGUCUGAUUAGCUAGUUGGUGAGGCAAUAGCUUACCAAGGCGAUGAUCAGUAGCUGGUCCGAGAGGAUGAUCAGCCACACUGGGACUGAGACACGGCCCAGACUCCUACGGGAGGCAGCAGUGGGGAAUUUUCCGCAAUGGGCGAAAGCCUGACGGAGCAAUGCCGCGUGGAGGUGGAAGGCCUACGGGUCGUCAACUUCUUUUCUCGGAGAAGAAACAAUGACGGUAUCUGAGGAAUAAGCAUCGGCUAACUCUGUGCCAGCAGCCGCGGUAAU